GCAGAGACGAACAUUUUAAAUUCAUCCUCAGAAGACAAAGGUGCAACCCAACCCUCCACUGUACAGCUCUCAGGACCAGAGCCUGUCUUCUCCAGACUACAAGAUGAGAACUGCAGUAUGUGCCAUCCUUCUCCUGAUGCUUCUGUGUCAAGGAGAAGCUCUGACAUGCAACAAAUGCUUUAGAUUUGGGAAAGGAAUGUGCAGUCCUACCUCCACACAAACCUGUAGGAGUAGAAGUGAUGUAUGUGCUGCCGUCUCAUAUGGAAACUACUCAGUGCGUGGUUGCAUGGGCAAGAGACGUUGCUGGACCCAACCGCGAUCCCCUCACCUACGAUGCUGCACGUACAACUUCUGCAACUACUGAUGAACGUUUGACUUGUUUCAAUAAAAGUAAAUGCAAUAAAAUACAUGGAUUUGUUCACUGUGGCGUGUGUGCACACGUGCUGCUGGGGAAGAUUGCAUUUCAUCCUGAUGUUACUGUUCAUUGAGGCCUUUCAUCACAGGUUUA